AUUAAACGCUGGCGGCAUGCCUUACACAUGCAAGUCGAACGGUAGCGCGGGGCAACCUGGCGACGAGUGGCGAACGGGUGAGUAAAGCAUCGGAACGUGCCCUGGAAUGGGGGAUAACGUAGCGAAAGUUACGCUAAUACCGCAUAUUCUGUGAGCAGGAAAGCAGGGGAUCGCAAGACCUUGCGUUCUGGGAGCGGCCGAUGUCGGAUUAGCUAGUUGGUGGGGUAAAAGCCUACCAAGGCGACGAUCCGUAGCGGGUCUGAGAGGAUGAUCCGCCACACUGGGACUGAGACACGGCCCAGACUCCUACGGGAGGCAGCAGUGGGGAAUUUUGGACAAUGGGCGAAAGCCUGAUCCAGCCACGCCGCGUGAGUGAUGAAGGCCUCGGUUGUAAAGGCUCUGUCGUAGGGGACGAAAGGGG
rnacentral:rRNA from 1 species